GGCCAUGUCACGUUGAAAUACCGGUUCCCGUACGAGCACUGAUGUUAAGCAACAUCAAGCCUGGUCAGUAUCGAGAAGGGUCACCGCUUAAGAAUACCAGGUGCUGUAAG